AUGAUACAACUAUAUAACAAUAGAACUUAGUCGUAUACAGUAGAAAUACUGUAUUUAAAGAGCCCUGAAUUGCUGGAAUACCCUGAGAGCCCUAUGAACCACAACGUAAGAUUGAGAAAUCUAGGCGUGAAGGUGGCAUGACCGUAAAAAUCAUAGGGAUUUGAGGUGAGUCAGACUCUACUGGGAAACCAUGCAGCCAAGCCUUGAAGAGAGGAAGGUUCAACGACUAGUGCAAAGGCACGUAGGGGUAAUAUUUUUAAUUACUUCGAAGCGGGGCAGCCUAAACCGAUAAGGACGGUAGGUGAAGAUAUAGUCUAUACCCACUAUAUAAAUUAGUGU
rnacentral:ribozyme from 1 species